UGGGGAAUUUUGGACAAUGGGCGAAAGCCUGAUCCAGCAAUGCCGCGUGUGUGAAGAAGGCCUUCGGGUUGUAAAGCACUUUUGUCCGGAAAGAAAUCCUUGGCUCUAAUACAGUCGGGGGAUGACGGUACCGGAAGAAUAAGCACCGGCUAACUACGUGCCAGCAGCCGCGGUAAUACGUAGGGUGCAAGCGUUAAUCGGAAUUACUGGGCGUAAAGCGUGCGCAGGCGGUCCGCUAAGACAGAUGUGAAAUCCCCGGGCUUAACCUGGGAACUGCAUUUGUGACUGGCGGGCUAGAGUAUGGCAGAGGGGGGUAGAAUUCCACGUGUAGCAGUGAAAUGCGUAGAGAUGUGGAGGAAUACCGAUGGCGAAGGCAGCCCCCUGGGCCAAUACUGACGCCCAUGCAGCGAAAGCGUGGGGGAGCAAAACAGGAUUCAGAUACCCUGGUAGUCCACGCCCUAAACGAUGU
rnacentral:rRNA from 1 species